UACGUAGGGUGCAAGCGUUGUCCGGAAUUAUUGGGCGUAAAGAGCUCUUAGGCGGCUCGUCACGUCUGCUGUGAAAACCCGGGGCUCAACUCCGGGCCUGCAGUGGAUACGGGCGGGCUAGAGUUCGGUAGGGGAGACUGGAAUUCCUGGUGUAGCGGUGAAAUGCGCAGAUAUCAGGAGGAACACCAGUGGCGAAGGCGGGUCUCGGGGCCGAUAAUGACGCUGAGGAGCGAAAGCGUGGGGAGCAAACAGG
rnacentral:rRNA from 1 species